UCCACGCCGUAAACGAUGUCGACUUGGAGGUUGUUCCCUUGAGGAGUGGCUUCCGGAGCUAACGCGUUAAGUCGACCGCCUGGGGAGUACGGCCGCAAGGUUAAAACUCAAAUGAAUUGACGGGGGCCCGCACAAGCGGUGGAGCAUGUGGUUUAAUUCGAUGCAACGCGAAGAACCUUACCUACUCUUGACAUCCAGCGAACUUUCCAGAGAUGGAUUGGUGCCUUCGGGAACGCUGAGACAGGUGCUGCAUGGCUGUCGUCAGCUCGUGUUGUGAAAUGUUGGGUUAAGUCCCGCAACGAGCGCAACCCUUAUCCUUUGUUGCCAGCGAUUCGGUCGGGAACUCAAAGGAGACUGCCGGUGAUAAACCGGAGGAAGGUGGGGAUGACGUCAAGUCAUCAUGGCCCUUACGAGUAGGGCUACACACGUGCUACAAUGGCGCAUACAAAGAGAAGCGACCUCGCGAGAGCAAGCGGACCUCACAAAGUGCGUCGUAGUCCGGAUCGGAGUCUGCAACUCGACUCCGUGAAGUCGGAAUCGCUAGUAAUCGUGGAUCAGAAUGCCACGGUGAAUACGUUCCCGGGCCUUGUACACACCGCCCGUCACACCAUGGGAGUGGGUUGCAAAAGAAGUAGGUAGCUUAACCUUCGGGAGGGCGCUUACCACUUUGUGAUUCAUGACUGGG
rnacentral:rRNA from 1 species